UGAGUCCCUCUCUCUGGGCCACCCCAGCACCCCCAAGUGCAGUUAUGGGGCUGCUGAAACCUGAAUUCUUCCCUAUGGAGAAAAACCUUAAAGCCACUUGUGAGGUGCUGGGGUGGCCCAGAGUGAGUGGUGGUCUAGUGCAAAGAGGGUGCCAACCACCCCCAUGGGUUGCUAACCCAUGGGGUACUGGGUUUUGUUGUUUCUGAAGUGUUCUGAGUGUACAUUCUUUGGUAGCAUAUGAGAUUUUCAAUGACAAACUGAAUCCACUCUCAUUGCUAACCUUAAAGACACAUAAACUUCAAAAAUCAGCCCUUUGCCCAAUUCCUUUCAAAUAAUUCUGAUAGCUACCUGGCCCCCCUUGGGCACUACCACCACCACACUCUGCUCUUGGACACCCCUUUUCCCCCGACGUGAAGCUAUACAUUUGCUGACACCUCCAUGCUUCUUUAUGGAGAAAAACCUUAAAGUCAUGUAAACUUCAAAAAUCACUUUAAAAUCAGCCCUUUGCCCAAUUCCUUUCAAAUAAUUCUGAUAGCUUCCUUGCCCACCUUGGGAACUACCACCCACCACACUCCACUCUAGGACACCCCUUUCUCCCUGACUUGAAGCUAUACAUUUGCUGCAAUCCUCAUUAUUCUCUAUGAGGAAUUCCAAAAUAAUUUUAAAAUUCACCAGUAAUCAGAGGAGUGUCUGAUUGCCUUGGAACUUUGUGGAUAGUAGGCACCCCUGGUUGUCUACCACCCAUCCCACCUUUGUGCCCCUAGGUGCUCCACAAUAGGGGAUAUGGGCUGAUUUGGGUCCCAUUAUACCCUAUGAGAAAAAUAAUUAAAAAUAUUUCAAAUAUUCAUAAAAAAUCAUAGGGGUGUCCAAUUGCUUCAGGAUUUCAAUGGUUGUUGGCACCAAUGGUUGCUCCACAAUAAGAAAUAAUGGGCUGGUUCGAGUCCCAUUAUACCUAAGAAAAAAAUAAAAAUAAAUUUCAAAAAUUCAUUAAAAACCGUACGAGUGUCCGAUUGCUUUGGGGUUUGGGUGGCAGGUACCCCUGGGUGCCAGCUAUCAUCCUACCAAUUUUUUGAUGUCUGAACCAGUUCAAACCAGUUCAAACUGGUUCAAAUCAAACCACCCCCAUCAAGGGACUACAAUUCUCAGGUAUCAUUUACUUUCCAACAUCAAAGCAAAAUAGUAAAGAGUCCCAGAAAAAAUCACAUCAAAUAAGUAGAUGCUAUUAAGAGUCUUUCGUAGUCCAUCAAGGGGUUAACUUGAAAGUCUUAAAAACAUUCCAGGUAGAAAGAUAAGAGGAAACUCUGCUGGGAGACUAAACACUGCCAGAACUAGCUCCAUAUGAAAGAAAGCUUGCGCAUGGGAAAGUGUGUUAUCAGGUUACGUGUAGUAAAUAUAAAAAGUCUUAGGUCUUCUAUUUGUGAUUAUUCCUAUUUCAAAUGUUGACGUUCAGGCCAGAUUUCUGAAUAGGAUUUGCAAUGCUGGGUAAUAUUUAUACUCCAUCAGUGGUGCUAGAAGGUAUUCAUCCAAUUAGUCAACAGCAGAAAAUAAAGAGAGUCCAAAAUUCCCAAAGGAUGCCGAAACGUUCAAAGUUUUUUCUUUUCCCCUGUUUUUCCAUCACCAUAAUCCAUAAUAUAAUGAAAAGGAGGCAUCAAAAGCUCAGAAAUUAAGAAUCCCCUUUCCAUUUGUCUCUACAGUCCCAACUUCAAUAAUGUUGCUAAAAGUUCCAGGCAGCAAGCAAGAGACAUAAACAUAAUUGUACCACAAGAGAGCUUCUGUAUUCAAACUUCCAUAUACAUACUGUAUUCAAACCUUUAAAAACAAAAAACCCUCAUUCAUUUAUCUAUUCCAUCCCAACUUCAAUAACGCUUCUAAACGUUCGAAACAGAGAGUGCCACACAAAGAGCAAAGAACUUAAUUACCAGCCAUAAAACACUUUUAUCAGUGCCGGAAUUCCAGUGCUGUGAUUAGAGUUCAAAAUGAGAGUAAUUAGUAACUAGAGCAUCAAACGCUUUGCAAAACCACUCGCAGGAAUUCUUCAAGGUAAAACUCAAAACUGAUUGAAAUAAGAUGCUGGGUUCUGCAAAAAAUUAAGCAGUAGAAUCACACAUUGGUCAUGUAAGACUUCAUUCCUCUCCCAGCCAACCCUCUUCUUAAUGCCGUUUACAUAAUUCCCUCUGGAAAAGUCAGUAGGAGGCUCAAAAGUAAUAAAGACCAAAAAAAGGGGAGGCCAGAAGAAGUAAAAAGAAAUGGCAAAGAUCUUGCAAGCUCAAAAGCCAUGGUCAUCUCAGAGAUUUGAUAGGCAAGAAAAAAGUAGAUAAAUAGCAAGUCGUUCUUCAGAAGGCAUGAUAUUAAGCCUGUCUCCGUUCAGCCUGAUGCUUAAUGCAGAAAGGUCUCUCCUGAGGGUUCAUCCAGGGUCCUCCAGGUUUUUUCAAGCCUGGAAUCUCCCCAGACUCCCCCCUACUACUACUACUAUCCAUCAAUAUAGAUCUAAUUUGAAACCCAACUAGCCAUGGUAUUUGAUACCAUGGUACUAAUCUUAUCUAAGUAGUUAUGGAUUUUCCCUUGUGUUGGGUUAUGAGAAUUAUAUAAUUGUUCAAGGAACUUAACAAACUGAUCACUGAUAUCUUUAGUGUUAGUGAUGGUUCGACCUUUAUCAUCCUUUAUUACUUUUAUAAGCCUCUUCUCCUUAACUUUCUUUAAUUUAUAGGCUAACGAUCUUGUAAUUUUAUUAUCAUAUUCAUAAUAACUUUGUUUCAAAUAAAUGGGUUGAGUAGAAAUUUUUGUCAUUUCCAAAACCAUGAGCACCUUCCUUUUCUUCUCUAUUUGCUUAAAGGCAUUAACAGACCCUGUUCUAUGAAAUAUUGCCAAUAAGUGUUUACUCUCCAGUUCUAGUUUAUCAUGCAUUUGUGUUGAUUCUUUUUUAAUCCUGCUCAUCUGAUCAAUUCACUCCCCUCUAAUAACAGCUUUCAUCGCAUCCCAUUUCAUUACUUGUGAUGUAUGUUCCUUAUCAUUUUCAUUUUUUAAAAAAUUCUUAAUGUUUAGGCCAAUUGUUGCUUUGCCACCCAGUCCACAAGUAAUCUAGGUUUAAAACGCCAAACCGGGAAGAAUAAAAAUUUCUCCUCUAAUUAGAUACUGUUUUAAUUGUGUUUUAAUUAUGCUUUAAAAUUUUUAACUUUUUAAUUUUAAUUUUUGAAAUGUUUUAAUCUUUUAUUGGCUGCCUUCAUCGUCUAUAAACCACCCAGAGAAAUUGCAUUUGGGGCGGUAUAGAAAUGUAUCAAAUAAAUAAAUAGAAAGAUAGAAUUAAAGAUCACUGGGGCAUGAUCUGAAACAAGAAUGGGUCCAAUUUCUCCCUUAUGAAAUUUUAUGAAAUGGAUUUGUGUUAAAAAAAGUAUUAGAUGCCCAUAUAUAAUCCAACCUAGAAUAAGAUUGGUGUCUUCCUGAAAAAAAGGUAAAACUUUUGCGGAGGGAUCAAGCAUUUGCCAAGAAUCUAUAAGCUCAUAUUUAUGCAUCAAUCUUUGAAAGUUCAAUUAUAGUAAGACUUGUUUCUUAUAUUGUAAAGAUCUUGAUUUAUUCUCGUUAGAUGACUUAGUGGCAUCAAUAUUAAAGCCCCCCCCCCAACACUAUAUUAUUACCAGCAAACCUUUUCAUUUUUCACGAGAGCCAGCGUGGUGUAGUGGUUAGAGUGCUGGACUAGGACAGAGGAGACCCGAGUUCAAAUCCCCAUUCAGCCAUGAAACUAGCUGGGUGACUCUGGGCCAGUCACACAUCUCUCAGCCUAACCUACUUCACAGGGUUGUUGUGAAAGACAAACUUAAGUACAUAGUACACCGAUCCGGGCUCCUUGGAGGAAGAGAGGGAAAUAAAUGUAAUAAUAAUAAUAAUAAUUUCCCUCAUUGUUUUCUGAAGGAAGUCAAUAUGUCUCUGAUUUGGAGCAUAGAUAUAGGCCCAAGUAAUAUCCUUAUUGUGCAACUUCCCCUUAAUAAAAAUAAAUCUUCCAUAUUUAUCUUUCAAAAAAAUUUCAAUACAAGAUCAAUGUCAGCUUUAAAUAAAAUGUCAACCCCUCUUGCCUUGUUUUUCCCUUGAGCAGAAAACUGUUUUCCAAAAUAUCUAUCAGCAAUACCAUCUAUCUUAUAAGUCUCUUGCAAAAUCCCCCUCCCCUCUGCCUCGUGCUGGGGGAGGGAGUUUGUUCCAGCCCUUCACGGGCCCAAGAAACAGCCCAAUUGGCUGCUUAGCACGAGAGGGGGCGUGGUUUCGGCCGAAAUCGGCCGAUCCACGCCCCAAGCUAGCAGUUGGCCUUCAGCUCUUCUGCAGGAAGGAGCUCCGUUUGCGUGCUCCUUCGGAUCAAGGGAGGGUGGUUGGUUUCGCCCGGGAAGGGGCGUGCGGCGCAGGGGAGUCCUCUCUGCAGCAUUCGGCGUCGCGGCGACGACGUUCUCCGCCCGGCUGGGCGCGGCGCAUUUUCGGCUUCUCUGGGCCUUCGGCCCGCACGAUUUGGUCCCUCUCCCCUCCGGCUCCCGGACUAGGCCCUGCCUUUUAAGGCAGUAGCGCUCAUGGGGGAUAACCCCUUUCACUCUCCUGGGUGGUUGAAGUCCCGUUUUUGUUGUUGUUGUUGUUGUUUCUUUCGUGCGUUAUCUUCUUCUUCUCCUGGCUUCUUCCUGGUCCCCUGGUGACAGAUUGGGGCUGUGGGUGGUCUGCCCAGCUGGGUGGGGGAUCGGGACUUGGCCUUGGGGGGGUGGGUUUUUCACGCUGACACAGGGUUCUAUCUUCCUGGCUGUUUAACAUAGCGUUUCUUGAGUUUGGGUGGAUUGGGGUGUUCCUGCCUGCUGCCAAGUAUGUGAGUGUACUGGUUGUUGGCUAACUGGUUUGCAGUCGGUUUGAUUGCAGUGCGAGUCAUGCCCAGGAAGGCUAAAGAAAAGAAGGGUGGGAGACCCAUCAGACCACCCAAGAGACCUGCUGCUCCUCCUCCGUCUUCCUCCGAGGAUGAGGACGAGGAAAUGGGUGUUAUUAGGGCCCUAAUAGGGAGGAUGGAGGCGUUGGAAAGGGCCAGGAAUGUUCCAUCGGAUCCAGGGGCUGGCACAUCUGGCGGCGGGGGCAUUCCGCCCCCCAAGGUCCCUCGCAGGACUCGUGGGGCUGCUAGGAGCCAGUUAUUGAAGUCUCUUUCCAGCAGGUUGGAGGCCCUUGAGAAGGCUGGGGCCCCUGCUGGACCCGACACUCCAUCUGAACCUUCUGGUCCAUCGAUGCCUUCGCCAGAUCCGCUGGGGCAGCCGGCUCCUGCACGACCUCCGGACCCGGUUCCUGCACUGCCUGGACCUGUUUCACCUCAGCCUGUGGCGCCGGCGGAGCAGCCUCUUCGGGAUCCGUCUCUCCCUUUGGCCCCGGGUGAGCCAGCAGCACCGACACCCCCCGGCAGCACCGGCCAGUGGCCUUCUAUACCCUGGCCUGUGCCUGCCAUGGGGGAUGGGGACCAGCCACAUACUGGUCCCCCUAUGCGCACACUUGGGGUUCAGGGUUCACUCCACCCAUGAUAGGUAACGUGUUGGGCCUCCAGGGCUCGGCCAAACAGAUCUGGGGUGUCAAUAGGCCCUCCGGCGCGCCCAUCAUCUCGUCUGCGAACAACACUACUGCCCCGGUCCCCGCGCCUAGCAGCCCGGGGUUCUAUCCUAUGGGCAUUACCCCCACACCCCAACACGCCCCGUAUGGGAGGAUGGGGCUUCCUUUAGGAGACCACUUGCUCCCUGCCACAAAGGAAAAGAUCUUAAAGGGAGAGUACAUAGACAUCUUUAGCCUGCUGUUCAGGGAACCCGAAGUUAAACAUAAAGAAAGAGAGUCCUGCAAGGAACAUGAGGCUACGAAGCGGAAACCGGUUGAAAAGACAUGGAGCAACUGGCUCUCCAGCUUUACCAUAUACAUGGGGGUAAUUGUGCAGGCGCAGCCGGCUAGGGGCCCCUCCUUGCUGAAAUACAUGGAUAUUAUCCACAGGGCCGUCUCUGAUUUUGCAGGAUCCGCUUGGAUCUGCUAUGACGAAAGUUUUAGGAUGAGAGCGGCCCUUGAUCUAUCUUUGCCCUGGGAUGCCCAGCUACAGGAAUUGUGGCUUGUGAUAAUGUCCCCAGCCCGCCCGGUUGAAGGGGACAGAUCUGAUAGCAGACACUUGUUGUCUAAGCCGCUUGGCUCCGUGUCUACUACUGGGUCAGGCCAUCAGUGGGUUCAACCCCACUUGGUCUGCUGGGAGUACAACUCAAAUGGUAGGUGCUCCCGGUCACCCUGCCGUUACAGGCACGCGUGUGGCCUCUGUGGGUCCAAACACCCCAGUUCAGGCUUCCCUCGGACCCAUUCCUCUGGUUCGGGAGGCAAGUUUCGGUCGGGAGGUGGUAGGAAGGGUGGCCCCCCUCCACCCGCUGCGGGUAAAGGGGCCCAGCCCCAUCAAGCUUGAGGUGUUGGGCCACCUGUUGCAGGAUUAUCCCGAUGGAUCGGCGGCUUCCUACUUGUUUUUUGGUUUCCGGGAUGGGUUUCGCAUCCCUUCAUCUUCUAGGCAGGGGUCCAUCACAACACGUAACCUCAAGUCCGUUAUAGGUCAGGAGCAGGUUGUCUUAAGGAAAAUCGCAAAGGAAGUCGCGGCCGGUAGGGUUGCGGGGCCUUUUCAGACCCCUGCCUUCCCAGGGCUGCACGUUUCACCGCUUGGGGUGGUACCCAAGAAGGUGCCAGGUGAAUUCCGGCUAAUUCACCACCUCUCUUACCCCAAAGGGUCGUCAGUCAAUGACGGCAUCCCCGACACUUUGUGUUCCGUCCGCUACACAUCCUUUGAUGAAGCGGUCCAGGUUGUUCACAGUAAAGGGGUGGGAGCUCUCUUAGCCAAGUGUGAUAUCGAGUCCGCCUUCCGCCUGCUGCUUGUCCAUCCAGCUGAUUUUGAGCUCUUGGGAUUUGCCUUCGCUGGUCAGUUCUAUUUUGACCGAGCGUUGCCCAUGGGCUGCUCGAUUUCAUGUGCGGCCUUUGAGGCUUUUAGCACUUUUUUAGAAUGGGCAGUGCGGCGGAGGGCGGGGCUUGUGUCAACGGCCCAUUUUUUUUGAUGACUUUGUCUUUGUAGGGAGGGGCAAUUCUGGGGAAUGUUGUCACCUGCUGUGCUCCUUCAUGGAGUUAGCAGCGGAACUUGGUGUCCCUCUAGCGCAAGAUAAGACGGAAGGCCCAGCUACCCGGUUGUCUUUCCUAGGCAUUGAGCUUGACUCAGUAGCAGGGUGCUCCAGGUUGCCCCCUGACAAGUUGCAAGCCUUGCUGGCUUUGGUUAGGACCCCAGGGGAGGCCCGAAAGGCUUCCCUGAGGGAACUGCAGGUGGUAGCCGGUCACCUGAAUUUUGCCUGCAGGGUGGUUGCCCCUGGUAGGGCUUUUCUGAGAAGACUCUGCGAUCUCAUGGUAGGCCUUCGGGCCCCGCACCACAGGGUGCGGAUCUCCGAAGGAGUCAGGGCCGAUUUGGCCCUGUGGGAAACCUUUCUUCUCACAUUUAAUAGUACCUCGCUCUGGCGGUCUGAACAGCUUUUAGAAGCCGACUUGCAGGUCCAUUCGGAUGUGGCUGGAGGGGCCGGGUUUGGGAUCUAUUUUAGGGGCCGGUGGUGUGCUGCCCCCUGGCCUGCAUUGUGGGUCGAACGAGGGUUAGUUAGGGACAUGACUUUUCUCGAGUUGUUCCCCAUUGUGGUUGCAGUCCACAUCUGGGAGGGGGAGUUUGCCAACUCUUCUGUGAGGUUCUGGUGUGAUAACCAGGCCGUGGUGCACAUUGUCAAUACCCAAACCUCACACUCACGGAGGGUCAUGUGCUUGGUCAGAGCACUGGUGCUCCAAUGCCUGCGGGCGAAUAUAGUCUUUCAGGCCUGCCAUGAUCCGGGGAUAAAAAAUGAGAUCGCUGACGCCUUGUCUCGUUUUCAGAUAGACAGAUUCAGGGCGUUAGCUCCCGAGGCAGCGCGGCUCCCGGACCCCAUGCCAGCAGUCCUGUGGCAGCUUGGCAAUUGGAAGCCCAGCAGGCCAUAGCAGCGUCACUGGCACCUAGUACCAGGGCGAGUUACGCAGCCAAGAUAGAGGCUUUUGCCCAAUUCCGGAAGGCUGAAGGUUUGGCAGAGUCUUGGCCUGCCCUGGUUGGUCACCUGCAGCAGUUUUUAGUCUCACUACACAAAGCGGGGCGAUCUGGGUCUACUUUGGGCGGUUACUUGUCGGCCUUGUCUUUUGAGGCUCAGGUUAGGGGGGUCGGGGAUUCCUCCUCCGAUCCACGUAUCAGGCGUAUGUUGGAGGGAUGGGCCAGGAUGUCUCCGGCGCUGAUUGACAGCAGGCGCCCGAUUAUGCUGGACAUGUUGGCUUCCAUUUUGGGUCGCCUGGACGGCUGUUGCUCCAACCCUUGGGAAGUUUCCCUCUUUAGGGCAGCGCUUCUGGUUGCCUUUUUUGGCGCAUUUCGCCCCUCUGAGUUGCUGCCGCGUAGCAGCUGUUCCCCACGGGAUUGUUGUCUCCAACUUUCUGACUUAACAUUUGAGGCCGGUACGGCUAACCUGUGCCUCUGUCGAUCUAAGACGGAUCAGAGGGGCAAGGGUCACUUGGUCAAGUUAGCAGAGGCUACUGGUUCUGCGCUCUGCCCGGUGGCAGCCCUUAGGCAUUACACUGGACUGUGUCCCCGGCCUGGGGGAUGCUUGUUUCUUCAUGGGAGCGGCUGCCCAUUGACACAAUAUCAGUUUCUGACAGUGAUCAGGAAGGUCCUUAAGGAAGCCAGGAUCCCCACAGCUGGGCUCACCCUUCAUUUCUUCCAGAUAGGGGCUGCCUCUACUGCUUCCGGAUUGGGCAUGACUGAGGAUGCCGUGCGGCGGAUUGGGCGUUGGAGGUCCGUGGCGGUCAGGCGGUAUGUGCGCUGACAGUGGCCAACGUCUCAUGGUUUCUCUUCUGUGUUUCUCCCUGCAGGUGCUGGUGGAGCGCCGGCUCCAGUCCAGGUCCUGGUGUGUGGCCAUUCGCUGGUCUUCUGGGCCUUCAGAUAUUUCUGUUUCCCAUGCCCUUGAUGUCAUCCUGGCAGUUUGAGAAGAAAUGGCAUCACUGCAAAAUGAUGCCACUCAAAAUGAUGAUUUUCAAAGCAUUCUUAAAGAAGCAGGACUGAACACUAUAGAACACCAACCAAAUCAUUCAAAUGAAAUAAGGUCCGGAGAUGGGGUGCAAAAGACGGGCAGUGUGUGGGAGGAAGAGAUGCAAACUUAGAAUCCUGGCAAGGUGGCUCCUCUGCCCGGGUCCCAGUGAUACCUCUCGGUUGUGCUAGCAUGAGGGGUGGCUGCUGGGGAGGGGCCAAAGGAGACAGGGAAAGAGCUUGAAGUCCUGGAUGGGGCCAAGCACAAGCUCCCAGCCCUAGAGCAGUGCUGUUGCCACUAGCCCAAGUGGUGGCUACACAGGGACGGGCCUUCUCUGUUGCCACCUCCAGACUCUGGAACGUGCUCUCUGCUGAAAUAAGAGCCUCCCCAUCUCUGACAACGUUAAAGAAGCCUUUCAAGAAACAUUUUUCACCAAAGCCUUUUAACUAGACUUGUGGUUUUAAAUCGUUUUUUAAUGUCUGUUUUAUUUUGUUUUAUGUUUUUGUAAACAAAAUAAACUGUCACUCAAAUGAAACUUGAUGUGGAUACAUGGAUCUCCUUAGCUAACAGCAUUUGGAGUA